rnacentral:rRNA from 1 species
GUCGAGCGGAAGAUGGGAGCUUGCUCCCUGAUGUUAGCGGAGGACGGGUGAGUAACACGUGGGUAACCUGCCUGUAAGACUGGGAUAACUCCGGGAAACCGGGGCUAAUACCGGAUGGUUGUUUGAACCGCAUGGUUCAAACAUAAAAGGUGGCUUCGGCUACCACUUACAGAUGGACCCGCCGCGCAUUAGCUAGUUGGUGAGGUAACGGCUCACCAAGGCAACGAUGCGUAGCCCACCUGAGAGGGGAUCGGCCACACUGGGACUGAGACACGGCCCAGACUCCUACGGGAGGCAGCAGUAGGGAAUCUUCCGCAAUGGACGAAAGUCUGACGGAGCAACGCCCCGUGAGUGAUGAAGGUUUUCGGAUCGA